rfam:Salmo salar isolate Sally breed double haploid chromosome ssa12, whole genome shotgun sequence.
UGAAUUCACUACUGUAAGUCGCUCUGGAUAAGAGCUUCUGCUAAAUGACUAAAA